GCAGACACAUUCCAGCCAAUCAACAGCAGACCCUCCCUCCCAGACCCUACCACCUCCUGGACAGCUCACUAAGAAUGCAGCUUCAAAAUGGAUGCUGUCCAGGAGUUGGGAGGGUCUGGGAGGGAGGGUCUGCUGCUGAUUGGCUGGAAUGUGUCUG